GAUGAACGCUGGCGGCGUGCCUAAUACAUGCAAGUCGAGCGAACGGACGAGAGGCUUGCUUCUCUGAUGUUAGCGGCGGACGGGUGAGUAACACGUGGAUAACCUACCUAUAAGACUGGGAUAACUUCGGGAAACCGGAGCUAAUACCGGAUAAUAUUUUGAACCGCAUGGUUCAAAAGUGAAAGACGGUCUUGCUGUCACUUAUAGAUGGAUCCGCGCUGCAUUAGCUACUUGGUAAGGUAACGGCUUACCAAGGCAACGAUGCAUAGCCGACCUGAGAGGGUGAUCGGCCACACUGGAACUGAGACACGGUCCAGACUCCUACGGGAGGCAGCAGUAGGGAAUCUUCCGCAAUGGGCGAAAGCCUGACGGAGCAACGCCGCGUGAGUGAUGAAGGUCUUCGGAUCGUAAAACUCUGUUAUUAGGGAAGAACAUAUGUGUAAGUAACUGUGCACAUCUUGACGGUACCUAAUCAGAAAGCCACGGCUAACUACGUG
rnacentral:rRNA from 1 species